rnacentral:rRNA from 1 species
GUAGGUGGCAAGCGUUGUCCGGAAUUAUUGGGCGUAAAGCGCGCGCAGGCGGUUCUUUAAGUCUGAUGUGAAAGCCCACGGCUCAACCGUGGAGGGUCAUCGGAAACUGGAGAACUUGAGUACAGAAGAGGAAAGCGGAAUUCCACGUGUAGCGGUGAAAUGCGUAGAGAUGUGGAGGAACACCAGUGGCGAAGGCGGCUUUCUGGUCUGUAACUGACGCUGAGGCGCGAAAGCGUGGGGGAGCAAACAGGAUUAGAUACCUGGUAGUCCACGCCGUAAACGAUGAGUGCUAAGUGUUAGGGGGUUUCCGCCCCUUAGUGCUGCAGCUAACGCAUUAAGCACUCCGCCCUGGGAGUACGGCCGCAAGGCUG